CUUCACAUAGGAAGAGACGGCUUGUCAAUAGGAUAGCAACUAGGCAUUGUUACCGCUCACAAUCAAGACAGCUUGCGAGCCUUGACCUCAUAUAGGAUAUCAACUAAACAGACAUCUUCUUAAUCUCAAGUUCUUUAUGGUCUGUGAUCUGGUUCAACAUACGAAACCAAAAAUAACUCGCUUUAGGGUAGGUCUUCGUCAUUUUUUUAAGCCAACCUUUUCUUUUUUUCUGCCUAGUUUCAGAGUAAAAUCACAGCUUUCAUAAUCAGCUUUAAGUUAAAAUUAAAGACGUGCAAAAUUCACAUAAAACUUACUUUGAACACCAAAUCAAAAUGCAGUUGUUUGGCUAGAACCGUAAACAUAGAUAAUCCACUCAGCAUUCUCUUCAUUAAGUCGAUACCUUGACAAGCAAGAUUUCAUCAUCAGCUGACAAUUUAUCAAACAACAUGCAGAUGCUCAGGCUGAAUAAAAACUUGAAAGAUAAAUAAACCAGAGGGGAAAAAGAUCUGCCUUCAAGAAAAAAACUUAAGCAACCAUUAUCUCCUUCAACUCUGCAAUAACUUGAGGGAGAUGUAAGGAUUGUAAAAGCCUUCUCCCUGGUUUCACAACACAGCCAAAAACGUGCAAUGAUUAUGAUAAUCACCACUUUGUGUAGAGAGAAAACGGCAUUGGUUUCGUACCUAUAGACAGGCUACAUGUACGAAACCAGUGAUUAGUAAACUUAAUAUGUUUUUGUUUGUAUUUGUGUGUGAAAUGAGUAGAUAUGAGAGAAGUAGUGAGCUGUUUGAUUGUUUCUUAUAGGUAAAGAACAAUGAAAUUGGAUGAUUUACAUGUGCUCAAGCAAACAUGAUUUGGCAGCCUAACCCAUACAUUUCUCCAAAUUAUUGUUUUUUUUUUUUUUUCCAUUAAAUUAUUUUUGUUAUUACUUUGGUAUUUUGAUUCAGUGUAUCAUUUUUUUAGUUUAUUAUUCGGCGUAUCUAGGCCUGGACAUUCGGGGUCCUAAUCGGGUUUCGGUUUAGUCCAAUCGGUUUUCGAUUUUCGGGUUUAUCAAAAUCAGCCCCAUUCGGGUUAUAUGAAAAUUCGGUUCGGGACCGGUUCGGGACCGGUUCGGGUUCUGUCGGAUUCGGAUCGGUUUAGUAAAUCUUCAAAGAACCGGUAGAACCCAAUGUACUUUCGGGUUCGGGUCCCAAUCGGUUCUUCGGUUUAAAUGUACCUGAUUUAUAUCUACUUUGUAACUAAAAUCGGUUCUUUGGUUUUAAAAUACUUGAUUUCUAUCUAUUUUGUAACCAAAACAUAAAUAAAAUCGUUUCAAAAAAAAAGAAAGGUACAUCAAAUGUGAUCAUUCAAAAUCAAGUGAAAGGUAAACAUAAUUAUUGAUCGAAAGAAAUCCAAAUAAAUGAAAGCACGGAACGAAAAUCAAGUUCUCAUGAAAUGAAAAACAUUAUUC
rnacentral:lncRNA from 1 species